UAACGAAUCUUCCGCAAUGCACGAAAGUGUGACGGAGCGACGCCGCGUGUGGGACGAAGCCCUUCGGGGUGUAAACCACUGUCAGGGGUUAGAAAGUUCUGAUCAACCCCAGAGGAAGGCACGGCUAACUCUGUGCCAGCAGCCGCGGUAAGACAGAGGUGCCAAGCGUUAGGCGGAAUCACUGGGCUUAAAGCGUGUGUAGGCGGACUUCUAAGUGCCUUGUGAAAUCCCACGGCUCAACCGUGGAACUGCUGGGCAUACUGGGAGCCUUGAGCCAUCUAGGGGCUGUCGGAACAAAUGGUGGAGCGGUGAAAUGCGUAGAUAUCAUUUGGAACGCCAAAGGUGAAAACAGACAGCUGGGGAUGUGCUGACGCUGAGACACGAAAGCCAGGGGAGCGAACGGGAUUAGAUACCCCCGUAGUCC
rnacentral:rRNA from 1 species